GCGUGCGUAUGGCCGAGGCUGGCGCAACAGAAAAUGAGAUAGCUGCAAAGCUUGGACAUAGCGACACGCGG
rnacentral:tRNA from 1 species